rnacentral:rRNA from 1 species
GCAAUGCACGAAAGUGUGACGGGGCUACCCCGAGUGCCUUCCGCUGAGGAAGGCUUUUCCUUGGUGUAACUAGCCGGGGGAAUAAGGAGAGGGCAAGACUGGUGUCAGCCGCCGCGGUAAUACCAGCUCUCCGAGUGGUAGGGAUGAUUAUUGGGCUUAAAGCGUCCGUAGCCUGCUUAGCAAGUUUCCUGUUAAAUUCAGCGACCUAAUCGUUGAGCCGCGGGAAAUACUACUAGGCUAGGAGGCGGGAGAGGUCGACGGUACUUCUGGGGUAGGGGUGAAAUCCUAUAAUCCUUGGAGGACCACCAGUGGCGAAGGCGGUCGACUAGAACGUGCCUGACGGUGAGGGACGAAAGCUGGGGGGGCGAACCGGAUUAGAUACCCGGGUAGUCCCAGCCGUAAACGAUGCGGGCUAGGUGUUGGGGCAGCUGCGAGCUGCUCCAGUGCCGCAGAGAAGUUGUUAAGCCCGCCGCCUGGGGAGUACGGCCGCAAGGCUGAAACUUAA